CGUACACUCCUACGGGAGGCAGCAGUGGGGAAUAUUGCACAAUGGGCGCAAGCCUGAUGCAGCCAUGCCGCGUGUAUGAAGAAGGCCUUCGGGUUGUAAAGUACUUUCAGCGGGGAGGAAGGCAAUACGGUUAAUAACCGUGUUGAUUGACGUUACCCGCAGAAGAAGCACCGGCUAACUCCGUGCCAGCAGCCGCGGUAAUACGGAGGGUGCAAGCGUUAAUCGGAAUUACUGGGCGUAAAGCGCACGCAGGCGGUCUGUCAAGUCGGAUGUGAAAUCCCCGGGCUCAACCUGGGAACUGCAUUCGAAACUGGCAGGCUUGAGUCUUGUAGAGGGGGGUAGAAUUCCAGGUGUAGCGGUGAAAUGCGUAGAGAUCUGGAGGAAUACCGGUGGCGAAGGCGGCCCCCUGGACAAAGACUGACGCUCAGGUGCGAAAGCGUGGGGAGCAAACAGGAUUAGAUACCCGGGUAGUCCCAUG
rnacentral:rRNA from 1 species